AGCACAUGAGAAGUGUCAGGCAUGGUGCAACGUGUGAGAGAUCCUGUUUCCCCAAAGCCUUGGAAUAAAACAUUAUCAAACUUUUGGAUCUUUCUAAUUUCAUCAGUGAAACAUGGUACAGUAUAAUUUUUGCCAUUUUUCUUAAGUAAAUAAGCUUGAAUAUCUUUCAUGUGCGUCUCUAGAUGAUCUGUUUACUGGCCAUUUUUCUAUUGGGUUAUUGAUAUUAUAAUUGCUUUCUUGGGACUGUGUAUAUAUUGGAAAGAUUGGUCCUUAUAAUGUCAGUUGUGAAUAUUUUUUGCAUUUUAAGUUUUGUUGGCCAUGCAGAGGUUCUUGAUUUUUAUAUAGUGGAAUUUUUUUUCUUUUGUGGCUUCUAAAUUUUGAGUCAUAUUUAGGAAGACCUUCCUCUAUUCAAUACCAUACAGGAAUUAUCCCAAGUUUCCUUGUUAAUAUUUUUAUGGUUUUAUUACCUACUUGUAUAUAUUUUACCAUACUGGGAGUUUGUCAUAUUGUAAAGUGAGAAAUAUGGAUGGAAUUUUAUUUUCUUAAUGACUGGAUAAUUGUCCCAAGCCAUUUGUUUUUUUCCCCCAUACUCUUUUGAGAUGCUACCAUUAUCAUACACCCAACUUCCACAUACAUGUAAAUAUAUUUUUGGACUUGUCUGUUGUUGGGAACAGGCCCCCCAAAAUCUGGCCAUAAAGUGGCCCCAAAACUGGCCAUAAACAAAACCUCUGCAGCACUGUGACAUGUUCAUGAUGGCCAUAACGCCCACGCUGGAAGGUGGUGGGCUUACCGGAAUGAGGGCAAGGAACACCUGGCCCACCCAGGGCGGAAAACUGCUUAAAGGCAUUCUUAAGCCACAAACAAUAGCAUGAGCUAUCUGUGCCUUAAGGACAUGCUCCUGCUGCCAUUAACUAGCCCAACCUAUUCCUUUAAUUCAGCCCAUCCCUUUGUUCCCCAUAAGGAAUACUUUUAGUUAACUUAAGAUCUAUAGAAACAAUGCUAAUGACUGGCUUGCUGUUAAUAAAUAUGUGGAUAAAUCUCUGUUCGGGGCUCUCAGCUCUGAAGGCUGUGAGACCCGUGAUUUCCCACUUCACACCUCUAUAUUUCUGUGUGUGUGUCUUUAAUUCCUCUAGCGCCGCUGGGUUAGGGUCUCCCCGACCAAGCUGGUCUCGGCAGUCUGUUCCAUUGGUCUAUCUGUUUGCCAGUAUCAUACAGUUUUAACUAUUGUUUUAUACCUAUGUCAUAGAGCUAUUUCUUUUUGUUGAUUUUUUUUCAGAGAUUUUUCUGGCUGUCCUUUUGCUAAGUUUAUAUUUCCAUAUGAACUUUAGAAUCAAUUUUAUUUAAAACAUACCCCCCUUUGGGUUUUUAAAAAUAUAUACAUGUCUUAAUUUUUAAAAAACUUUUUAAUUGAAAAUAUCGAACAUAUAUAAAUCUAGACAGAAUAAUAUAAUGAAGCUCCAUGGACUGGCAGCAUUCAACUUCAAUGAUCAUUUCAUGGCCAAUCUUUUUCAUGAAUUUUCUUAUCCAUUUCUUCCUCUUAUGUUAUUAUGGAAAAGAUCCCACAUAUAUCAUUUCAACUUUAAAUAUUUAAAUAUGUAAAUAAAAAGAUUUAUUUUAAAAUCAUCAUUUUAGUACCAUUAUCAUACAGACACCUAUAAUUUAUUUUUUUCAGACAGGGUCUUGCUCUGCCGCCCAGGCAGGAGCACAGUGAUCAUGGCUCACUGCAGCCUCAAAUUCUUGGGCUCAAGUGAUCCUCCCACCUCAGCCUUCCAAGUAGCUGGAACUGCAGGUGUGCACUGCCAUGCCCAGCUAAUUUUUUUAUUUUUAAUAGAGACAGGGUCUCACUAUGUCACCCAGGCUCAUCUUGAACUCCUGGAGUCAAGCAGUCCUUCUACCUUGGCCUCCCAAAGUGCUGAGAUUAUAGGUGUGAGCCACCGUGCCCAGCCCAAAUUAUUUUUUUUAACGAUAAUUCUUUAAUAUCUCAUAACUGUCCCAUAAAGUCCAUAUUUUUCUGCUUUUUAACUGAGAUCAAGUUACAUUUAUAAAUUAACUUAGAACUGACAUCUUGACAGUUGAGUUUUCCCAUUGAAGGAUACAGUAUAUGGUACAUCUAUUUUUCCAUUUAUUUUACUGAAGUCUUCUUUUUUUUUUUUUCUCCAGACAGGGUCGCCCAGGCUGGAGCGUAGUGGCUCGAACACAGCUCACUUGAAGCUUCAACCUCCCGGGCUCAAGUGAUCCUCCCACCUGUCUCCUGAGUAGCUGCAACUACAGGCAUGUGCCAAGACGUCUGGCUAAUUUUUAAAUUUUUUGUAGGGAUGGGGUCUUGCUGUGUUGCCCAGACUGGUCUCAAACUCCUGGGCUCAAGUGAUCCCCCAACCCUUGGCCUCCCAAAGUGCUAAGAUUACAGUUGUGAGCCACUGUGCCUGGCCUUAAGUCUUCUUUUAGUCAUUCACUGCUGUUUGGGAUUUUUUUCACAUAGAUAUUUUACUUUCUUCUUUUAUUUGAUGUUUAUUAUCUAAAGAUAAUAAUGGAUUUUGUAAGUUAUACCCUGUUGUUUUUAUGAAUGAUAUUGAUUUAUAUAUGGGAAUUUUGCAUCCACGAACUUACAACAGUUUUUCCUUGUUUCUAAUUCUUUUAAAAUAGACUCUAUUGCAUUUCAAGGAAUUCAUCAAAUUAUCUGCAAAUGGUCAUGGUCAGAACUCCUCACUAAUUUUUACCUCCAAUUUAAAAAUUACUGGUUUCCUAUCUAAUUGCGCUGACCAGUGCCUCCAGAUCAGCACUAAAUGAUAGUAGUGAUAGUGGACAUCCAUGCCUGGUGUAAAUAAAUGAGUCCGUGAAGGCAAAGAUGCUAUUAUGGGAAAGACUGAUGAUGAGACUAUCUUCUUCUAAAUACAAAAUGAGUUUUCAAUGCUCUAACAACAUGAAGCAUCCUUAAAGACUAAACUAUGGCAAGGAUAUUUAAUUUACUUCCAUAUUUUUUUAUUAGUAAAAUGCAUUUACUUUUUACAGGCAAGUAUGAACCACUUUGAGGUUUU
rnacentral:lncRNA from 10 species